CCCUUAGAUGUUCUGGGCCGCACGCGCGCUACACUGAUGCGUUCAACAAGUUUCCUUGGCCGAGAGGCCUGGGCAAUCUUCUUAAUAUGUAUCGUGAUAGGGAUAGAUUAUUGCAAUUAUUUGUCACAAACGAGGAAUUCCUAGUAAACGCAAGUCAUCAUCUUGCAUUGAUUACGUCCCUGCCCUUUGUACACACCGCCCGUCGCUCCUACCGAUUGAAUGUUCCGGUGAACACUUUGGAAUAGUUCUUAUGUGAGGGGAAACUCUUUGCUUGGAUACUGUGAAGUUGUGUAAACCUUAACAUUUAGAGGAAGGAGAAGUCGUAACA
rnacentral:rRNA from 1 species